rnacentral:rRNA from 1 species
AUUGAACGCUGGCGGCAUGCCUAACACAUGCAAGUCGAACGGCAGCACGAUUUAGUUUACUAGAUUGGUGGCGAGUGGCGCACGGGUGAGUAAUGCGUAGGAAUAUACCUUAAAGUGGGGGACAACCUGGGGAAACCCAGGCUAAUACCGCAUGAGCUCUAAGGAGGAGAGCUGGGGACCAGAGAUGGCCUGGCGCUUUAAGAAUAGCCUACGUCCGAUUAGCUAGUUGGUGAGGUAAAGGCUUACCAAGGCUACGAUCGGUAGCUGGUCUGAGAGGAUGAUCAGCCACACUGGGACUGAGACACGGCCCAGACUCCUACGGGAGGCAGCAGUGGGGAAUAUUGGACAAUGGGGGCAACCCUGAUCCAGCGAUGCCGCGUGUGGGAAGAGGGCCUGCGGGUUGUAAAGCACUUUCGGUGGGGAGGAGGGCUAUUAGGUUAAGAGCUAGAUAGUUGGACGUUACCCAAAGAAGCAGCACCGGCUAACUCCGUGCCAGCCGCCGCGGUAA